rnacentral:rRNA from 1 species
AGAGUUUGAUCAUGGCUCAGGAUGAACGCUGGCGGCGUGCCUAACACAUGCAAGUCGAGCGAUUCUCUUCGGAGAAGAGCGGCGGACGGGUGAGUAACGCGUGGGUAACCUGCCUCAUACACAUGGAUAACAUACCGAAAGGUAUGCUAAUACAAGAUGAUAUAAGAGAUUCGCAUGGAUUUUUUAUCAAAGCUCCGGCGGUAUGAGAUGGACCCGCGUCUGAUUAGCUAGUUGGUAAGGUAACGGCUUACCAAGGCGACGAUCAGUAGCCGACCUGAGAGGGUGAUCGGCCACAUUGGAACUGAGACACGGUCCAAACUCCUACGGGAGGCAGCAGUGGGGAAUAUUGCACAAUGGGCGAAAGCCUGAUGCAGCAACGCCGCGUGAGCGAUGAAGGCCUUCGGGUCGUAAAGCUCUGUCCUCAAGGAAGAUAAUGACGGUACUUGAGGAGGGAGCCCCGGCUAACUACGUGCCAGCAGCCGCGGUAAUACGUAGGGGGCUAGCGUUAUCCGGAUUUACUGGGCGUAAAGGGUGCGUAGGUGGUUUCUUAAGUCGGGAGUGAAAGGCUACGGCUCAACCGUAGUAAGCUCUUGAAACUGGGAAACUUGAGUGCAGGAGAGGAAAGUGGAAUUCCUAGUGUAGCGGUGAAAUGCGUAGAUAUUAGGAGGAACACCAGUAGCGAAGGCGGCUUUCUGGACUGUAACUGACACUGAGGCACGAAAGCGUGGGGAGCAAACAGGAUUAGAUACCCUGGGUAGUCCACGCCGUAAACGAUGAGUACUAGGUGUCGGGGGUUACCCCCUCGGUGCCGCAGCUAACGCAUUAAGUACUCCGCCUGGGGAGUACGCUCGCAAGAGUGAAACUCAAAGGAAUUGACGG